rnacentral:lncRNA from 1 species
AAAGGUGUUCCCUGAAUUGACUGCCAUUGAAGGGGAUAAAGUGAUUGAUACUUUCCAAUCAUGUGUGCUAAAUCCUCCAUGAAAACUGAAAAAGCAAGUCAGCAAACGCGGUUUCUAUCUCUCUUUUUGCUCAGCUGCUGUUGCGGUAAUGCUGAGUUUAGAAGCUCAGGAAAAAGAUGUGUAUAAAGGUCAAAAGAACAAAGAAAAAACAAUUUGCAGAUAAACCCAGAUUCUUAUGGUAACUUUUGAAGUUUCAAUAUUGGUUUAUAUGGCUGUCAUUCAAUUUUG